ensembl:lncRNA
CUUCUGCAGAAAGUGCUGGAUGAUUUUUCCCCGUAAAUAUAGAAGAAGCCAUAGAAAACCUGCCUUUUCUCAGCUGUGGUGAUAACUUUCCAGGGAAUUGUGGCAUUCAGAUCUAAGCUUGUGAAAUCAAUGCCUUGCUGCAGAAGAACCGGGUUGCAUCUUACUGGACUCCUUUGUGGUUCAGUAUGCACAUGUGUUUGUCAUUGCUCCCCUCUUCCAAUUAUUGCAAACUAUCUCCACAACAGUUACUACAUUAUUACAUUCCUGCUGUAUUUAGUGAUUACUCUAUUCUAUUCUAUUCUAUUCUAUUCUGUUCUGUUCUGUUCUGUUCUGUUCUGUUCUGUUCUGUUCUGUUCUAUUCAGCUAUCCCAUCCCAUCCCAUCCCAUCCCAUCCCAUCCCAUCCCAUCCCAUCCCAUCCCAUCCCAUCCCAUCCUAUCCUAUCCUAUCCUAUCCUAUCCUAUCCUAUCCUAUCCUAUCCUAUCCUAUCCUAUUCUAUUCAGCUAUCCCAUCCCAUCCCAUCCCAUCCCAUCCCAUCCCAUCCCAUCCCAUCCCAUCCCAUCCCAUCCCAUCCUAUCCUAUCCUAUCCUAUCCUAUCCUAUCCUAUCCUAUCCUAUCCUAUCCUAUCCUAUCCUAUCCUAUCCUAUCCUAUCCUACUCUUAUCCCAGAUCAGAGAAGGAUGCUGCAGAUUGUGGCAGCAGAUAAUUUGUCUACACCUUUUGUAGCUGCAGACCACCAAAGAGCCUAGCAUAAAGGCAUCUGAGGACAGAUUCAAGCACAACUUCAGCAUAUGCAAUACUUGACAUGUACUUACGUUAUUGGGAAUUUAUGAGGUCUGAAUAGUCUUCUGCCUCUUUUUAGCUAUGUUUUGCCUGGGAGGAUGGUGUUCAUCUGACAAAAUGUAGGCAGCUAUGCCUGAGACAGACAAUGGGAAGGAACAAGUCCUUUAGGGGAUCACCAUGUUGCCUAUAUAUAUAUGCAUAUAUUUAUUUAUGUCAAAUAUAUUCACACAUAUACACUGCUUUAUAUAUACACAUGUACUGCAAUAUAUAUACAUAUACAUGUACAUGUAUAUAUAUAGCUCUGUCUAUAUAUGUACGUAGCUUUACACAUAUAUACAUAUGUAUAUGUAUAUAGGCCAAAUGACUCACUGGUUUAAGGCAUGGGUUUUCCUUCACUGACUCUAAAUGAUGCCCAUAUUUAUCAGAUUACCUAUAGAUGCUUAUAUGGUAUAUGUCAAAAACCAAAUGGGAUGAAUCCUUUCCUUAUAGUUCAGGAGGUAUAGAAUGUUAGUGUAAUUUUCUGUUUUGUGAUAAAAUGUGUGUCAUUGUUUUACUGGUUUGUAUUCCUGUUGAGUUACUCUCAUAUCAUAGCCUUGAUAUUUAUACUAUCCAUGCCUGAGUUACUCUUACUCCAUAGCUUUGAUAUUUAUACUUUCCAUGUUUUUUGCUGUUGUUGUUGUUUUAUUUUAUUUUAUUUUAUUCCUGCUGGAAUAAGACUAAUUCAUAAUAUGUAUCUUUAUACAGAUGGAUAUGUAAUGGUCUAACUUUAUGCUGUUAUUUUGUAUGGGAGCAAAAAACAACCUGUAUUUAUGCAAUAGAUGAUAGGUUUCCAAAUCUGUCAGCUGCUCCGAAGUCUGCGAGCAGUGGUACUAGCGCUUGUGCUUCAUUAGGUUAAUGCACAUUAGUUACUGUUAACAUAACUCCGUUAAGCACUGCAGUUAGG